GGUCUCGUGGCAGAGUGGUCUAAUGCGUUGGAUUCAAGACCCAAUAUCGAAAGAUGCGUGGGUUCGAACCCCACCGAGAUCA